rnacentral:rRNA from 1 species
GACGAACGCUGGCGGCGUGCUUAACACAUGCAAGUCGAACGGAAAGGCCCUGCUUUUGUGGGGUGCUCGAGUGGCGAACGGGUGAGUAACACGUGAGUAACCUGCCCUUGACUUUGGGAUGACUUCAGGAAACUGGGGCUAAUACCGGAUAGGAGCUCCUGCUGCAUGGUGGGGGUUGGAAAGUUUCGGCGGUUGGGGAUGGACUCGCGGCUUAUCAGCUUGUUGGUGGGGUAGUGGCUUACCAAGGCUUUGACGGGUAGCCGGCCUGAGAGGGUGACCGGCCACAUUGGAAUAGGGGAGCGACCCAUAGGCCAUCGGGAGGCAGAGGCGGAAAAUUGACGGAGAAGGGCGGAGUGAGUGAGGAAGGGCGCCGGGUCGGGAAAGUCGGCCUUUGGGGUAGAACCCAUUUGCACGUAAGAGGGAGCGUGAUGAAGGGAAAUGGUAAGAAAGGCACGGGUAAAUUCGUG